CCUACGGGAGGCUGCAGUGGGGAAUAUUGCACAAUGGGGGAAACCCUGAUGCAGCGACGCCGCGUGAGUGAAGAAGUAAUUCGUUAUGUAAAGCUCUAUCAGCAGGGAAGAAAAUGACGGUACCUGAGUAAGAAGCCCCGGCUAACUACGUGCCAGCAGCCGCGGUAAUACGUAGGGGGCAAGCGUUAUCCGGAUUUACUGGGUGGAAAGGGAGCGUAGACGGCAGUGCAAGUCUGGAGUGAAAGGCGGGGGCUCAACCCCCGGACUGCUCUGGAAACUGUACGGCUGGAGUGCAGGAGAGGUAAGUGGAAUUCCGAGUGUAGCGGUGAAAUGCGUAGAUAUUAGGAGGAACACCAGUGGCGAAGGCGGCUUACUGGACUGUAACUGACGUUGAGGCUCGAAAGCGUGGGGAGCAAACAGGAUUAGAUACCCCUGUAGUC
rnacentral:rRNA from 1 species